GGUGAUAUCGUCUAGUGGUUAGGACAACACGUUGUGGUUCGUUCAUCCCGAACAACAAAAGUCCCGUGUAAACGCCGGUUCGAUUCCGGCUAUUGCCA